GAGUCUACCAGGAUAAAUUUCCAAGAUGAAGUCUAGCUCCAGAAGUUUUCAGAGAGACUUGCAAACAAGCCGAGCCCACCUGCGGUCCUCAAAGGCAUCCUCAGACAGCAUGGAACACCCAGCCUCCUGUCUGCAUUGAGCAUGCCCAAGACAUACUGUUCAAGUCAGGUGAUGGAACACAGGCUGAACUUACCAGCAGAGCAGGGUUAACAAGUACCAAGGAGAUUUCAAAGACAAACUGCUGGUAGGGCCUGCCAGGAGCUAAGAUUCAUAAUGAAACUACAAAUUCUGGAGACCCAUUUUUUACUGUCUGCCAUGGCAAGUAUCUAAAAUUAAAUGCUAAGCCGAAAUCUGUCCUGGAGUCUGACACACAGCAGUUAAGAAGGAGAAAAUGAAAGCACCGGGCUGCUUCUGAAGGUGUAGAAGCUGAUGAAAGGUACCAACAGGAGAAAAGUAAACAUGAAAAAAUUAUCAUAAUAAGCGUGAGCUUGUGAACAUAAACUGAUGCAAGCCAGAACCCUCAGGUCAGUGGCACUGAGCAGAAGCCUGUGAUAUUGGAUGCUUGGACUUUGUGGGAGAAUGGCUGGCUGAAACCAUCUCCACAUGGAGGAGUAAAGAGAAGGCAACAAGAGCUAGCCUGUUGAUUGGACACAUGAAAAUGUUUUGAAAUUGAAGAACAUGGUAUUGGAGAGUGACACCUCUCUACUGAGAAACAAGCAAAGCUAGUAGCCUUUACAUAGACACAGAGAAGAACUAGAUAGACACACACAGAGGACAUAAGGACAAACGUAGCGUUUCUGCUUAACAGUAUUAAAACAGCACGGACAACAAUGUGAGAAGAUACAGUUUUCCUAAGAGACGGAGAAAAUCCAGAAGAGAGCAAAGAUCUUCCUUGUAAUAUCUAACUACGACUGGGCUGGCAGUGUGUUCUAGGAUGGCCACUGGUCUUCAAAUAUCUUGAAUUGAUUACAACAUU